rnacentral:misc_RNA from 1 species
AAGUCGUAACAAGGUUUCCGUAGGUGAACCUGCGGAAGGAUCAUUACCUAGAGUUGCGGGCUUUGCCUGCCAUCUCUUACCCAUGUCUUUUGAGUACCUUCGUUUCCUCGGCGGGUCCGCCCGCCGAUUGGACAACACUUAAACCCUUUGUAAUUGAAAUCAGCGUCUGAAAAAACUUAAUAGUUACAACUUUCAACAACGGAUCUCUUGGUUCUG